UACGGAGGGGGCUAGCGUUAUUCGGAAUUACUGGGCGUAAAGCGCACGUAGGCGGCUAUUCAAGUCAGAGGUGAAAGCCCGGAGCUCAACUCCGGGACUGCCUUUGAAACUAGAUAGCUAGAAUCACGGAGAGGUAAGUGGAAUUCCGAGUGUAGAGGUGAAAUUCGUAGAUAUUCGGAAGAACACCAGUGGCGAAGGCGGCUUACUGGACGUGUAUUGACGCUGAGGUGCGAAAGCGUGGGGAGCAAACAGG
rnacentral:rRNA from 1 species